GGCGGCAUGGAUGCCGCUCGUAUUAAGCAGAAGCAAGUUUGACACCGGUCAAACUUGUGUUCAGCGAAGUACAUGGAUGUGCUUCGCUGAACGAGU
rnacentral:sRNA from 1 species